rnacentral:pre_miRNA from 1 species
AAUACAAUUGCUGAGGCAUAUGGUAGUAACAUGUUAACUUUUAGAGAAACUGCCAAGCUGUUUUCCAGAUUUACCAUAUCAUUUUAACUCCCCACCAUAAAU